GACUACUGGGGUAUCUAAUCCUGUUUGAUACCCACACCUUCGCAGUUUAGCGUCAAUAACGGCUUAGAAGACUGCCUUCGCCUUUGGUAUUCCUCCUGAUCUCUGCGCAUUCCACCGCUACACCAGGAAUUCUGUCUUCCCCAACCGUAUUCCAGAUCCACAGUAUCUAAUGCCCUACAGCGGGUGAGCCGCUGCCUUUAACAUCAAACUUAUGGAUCCGCCUACCUGCCCUUUACGCCUAGUAAUUCCGGACAACGCUUGCAACCCCCGUGUUACCGCGGCUGCUGGCACGGAGUUAGCCGUUGCUUAUUCAUAUGCUAAUAUCUCUCUUCUCAUGCUAUUCACAUAAAAAGCAUUGCUCACAUAUAAAAGAACUUUACACCCCGAAGGGAUUCUUCGUUCACGCGGCGUCGCACUAUCAGACUUUCGUCCAUUGUAGACUAUUCUCGACUGCAGCCCCCCGUAGG
rnacentral:rRNA from 1 species